rnacentral:rRNA from 1 species
AUUGAACGCUGGCGGCAUGCCUUACACAUGCAAGUCGAACGGUAACAGGUCUUCGGAUGCUGACGAGUGGCGAACGGGUGAGUAAUACAUCGGAACGUGCCUAGUAGUGGGGGAUAACUACUCGAAAGAGUGGCUAAUACCGCAUGAGAUCUACGGAUGAAAGCAGGGGAUCGCAAGACCUUGUGCUACUAGAGCGGCCGAUGGCAGAUUAGGUAGUUGGUGGGAUAAAAGCUUACCAACCCCACGAUCUGUAGCUGGUCUGAGAGGACGAUCAGCCACACUGGGACUGAGACCCGGCCCAGACUCCUACGGGAGGCAGCAGUGGGGAAUUUUGGACAAUGGGCGCAAGCCUGAUCCAGCAAUGCCGCGUGCAGGAUGAAGGCCUUCGGGUUGUAAACUGCUUUUGUACGGAACGAAAAGCCCUGGGUUAAUACCCUGGGGUCAUGACGGUACCGUAAGAAUAAGCACCGGCUAACUACGUGCCAGCCGCCGCCGUAACAC